rnacentral:rRNA from 1 species
GACGAACGCUGGCGGCGUGCUUAACACAUGCAAGUCGAACGGGAGUAUCGAAGAAGCUUGCUUUUAAGAUACUUUAGUGGCGGACGGGUGAGUAACGCGUGAGGAGCUGUCCUAUGCAGGGGGACAACAGUUGGAAACGACUGCUAAUACCCCAUAAGCCGAGAGGUAAAAGGAUUUAUCCGGCAAAGGAGGUACUCGCGUCCUAUCAGCUAGUAGGUUGGGUAACGGCCGACCUAGGCGAAGACGGGUAGCCGGCCUGAGAGGGCGAACGGACACACUGGAACUGAGAUACGGUCCAGACUCCGACGGGAGGCAGCAGUGGGGAAUAUCGGGCAAUGGGGGCAACCCUGACCCAGCGACGCCGCGUGGGUGAAGAAAUCCUUCGGGAUGUAAAGCCCUGUUGUAUGGGAAGAGCAGAAGACGGUACCAUACGAGGAAGCCCCGGCAAACUACGUGCCAGCAGCCGCCGUAA